rnacentral:rRNA from 1 species
ACAAUGGGCGCAAGCCUGAUGCAGCCAUGCCCGCGUGUAUGAAGAAGGCCUUCGGGUUGUAAAGUACUUUCAGCAGUGAGGAAGGUGGGUAUGUUAAUAGCAUACUCAUUUGACGUUAGCUGCAGAAGAAGCACCGGCUAACUCCCGUGCCAGCAGCCGCGGUAAUACGGAGGGUGCGAGCGUUAAUCGGGAAUUACUGGGCGUAAAGCGCAUGCAGGUGGUUUGUUAAGUCAGAUGUGAAAGCCCGGGGCUCAACCUCGGAAUUGCAUUUGAAACUGGCAAACUAGAGUACUGUAGAGGGGGUAGGAAUUUCAGGUGUAGCGGUGAAAUGCGUAGAGAUCUGAAGGAAUACCGGUGGCGAAGGCGGCCCCCUCGGACAGAUACUGACACUCAGAUGCGAAAGCGUGGGGAGCAAACAGGAUUAGAUACCCUCGGUAG